CUGGUUCAACAUGUCAUAACCUUACAGAAAUGGAAAAAAAUGUUUUUAGUUUGUUGUUAUGUGCGUUUUGAAUAACAUAUCCACCAACAUUAGCAUAACAUUCCUGUAAUGUUUCCUUAGAACCACUCCUAUUGCUCUCAAAUUCUGUUGCGGCAGUGUGUUCUAAGAACCUUACGGGAACACAUUGUGUUAUUACGUUCUCUGGCAGCCUAAUGAGAACCUUGGGGGAAUGUUUUGUGGUAGUUUGUACAGAUGUUGUGAACAACAUUUUACUGAAUGAUAGGAAAACAUUCCAAUUAUAUUUAUUUUCUAACACUGACUUAGAAAAAAAGUUUUUUGUGAUAAAAAACUUGACUAAUGUAAAUAUUCUAGUCUAAAACAGAGUUUUGAACCUCAGUGCGUUACAACGAGUAAAGGAAGGUUGGAUUUGGCUAACAAUUAUGUCAACAAAUCAAGCCCCUUUUUGUCAAGCUCCACGUGCAAAUCGCCCCUCCGCUCAUGCAAUACAUGCUUCCAGCAGGAUUCACAACCAACAACUAUGGUUUGCAUGCUCUGCCGAAGGACCCUAUCAUCAUGCGGAAUAGAUGGUUGGAGUUCGUUGCUCCCCAGUGUUGGGGAGUAUACAGACAAAGUGCACAGUUGGGUGCCAGACUAAUCCCCUGGUCAUGAAUGGAUGCCGGGACCUACCAGAACGAGAAAAGUGACCCAAGUUAUUGCCUUGAUGACACAGAUGGCUUCAUCAACAACAACAGGUAAUGUGUGAUGUGAAAAGUUGUAUUAAAAAAUACCCGUAUUGAUAAAAAAAUAGGCUAACAUUAUUUGUUGCUUAUUUUCUAUUUCUUAGAUGCAUAUAAUGUCUAGGGCGUAACCUAGCCUGGUGGAUUCAGCCUGAUCGCUGUCUUCACCAUUCUAUUUCACUUCUGAAGUGAAAUAGAAAGGUGAAUGCAGUGUUCAGGUUGUUUCCACCAUGCUAAUCAUAACCAUCAUUGAUAAUGUAAUCAGUGCUCUGUGUAUGUGUGUGUGUGUGUGCACGCCUAUGUGUGUGUGUGUGUGUGUGAUCGACCAGUAUCUCUGAUGAGGGACCAGGAGCUGAUUUACGCGGCUAUGCCCAUCAAUGGGGCUCUGGCAAGGACCUCACCUCUUGCCUGCUCACUCGAUGAGGAGAACAGAAUUAGAAACAUGUAUGGAGCCAGUUCAUGGAGACUUGCAAGAUGAUGUGAUGAAGUCCAGACUGGCAGACAAGCUUGAUACUGAUGUCUCUGAAUAGAGAGAGACCUGGCACUCGGCAUAAACAUUUUACUCAACACAACUUUUACAUGUGUUGUCUUUUUUUAUUAUUGAAUUGAAUGGUACCAGUCAAUAUGGGGAGGGAGAACCCUGUUGUAUUCUGCACCAGGAUCAGGGAACUCCUGUUGUAUACUGUCCUGAUCCUGGUGCAGAAUACAACACAGGAAGGUAUGACCACUCUGACAUGUUUGCCAAAGUAGCCACAUUACCACCAGAUAAAAUGUUGAUAGGCACAGUAUCUGUAUCGACUGGGAAUAACAAUGAAAGAUGAAAUGUGUACAAUAUAUUAGCAAAACACUGCUUCUUUUUUAUUUACUUGGACUACAUUUGAAGUUAUCAUAGCACUUAUUUUAGAAUAUCUACCUAAAUUCAGCAAUUGCAUUCUUGUCAUAUUACUCUGUAGGCUACUGACCUACUCAAAGCUUCCUUCGACAUCUCACUAUACAUCAAUCAAAUGUAUUUAUAUUUUAUUUAUUUGAUGUCACAAAGUGCUGUACAGAAACCCAGCCUAAAACCCCAAACACCAAGCAAUGCAGGUGUAGAAGCACAGUGUAACUUGUAGUUAUUGAACUCAACCUGUAGGAGGAAACACCCACAUCAAACCACAAGUCACACUGCUUUGCUUUAUCUUGGCCAGGUCGCAGUUGUAAAUGAGAACUUGUUCUCAACUAGCCUACCUGGUUAAAUAAAGGUGAGAAAAAAAAAAAAAAUUUGCUGAAGAUUUUUUUGCUUCUUUUUUUCUUCUUUUUAAGAAUGUUUAGGGAAUGUUGUUGGAUCAAUCAUGACAUAACAUAACACUGUAACUUUAUAAGAGUAUUUAGGGGAAUGUUCCCUACUUGUUGUUAUAUGUGUUUUUAAUAACAUCUCCAUCAACAUUAUCAGAACAUUCCCAUAAUGUUUUCUCAGAACCAUUUUGAUUGCUGUCACAUUUUGUUGUUGCUGUAUGUACUAAAAACAUUACUGGUACACUGUGGUUUUACUUUACCUGGAAACCUAAUGAGAACGUUUGGAGAAUGCUCUGUGGUGGUUGUUACAUAUGUUGUGCACAACAUUUUAGUGAACGUUAAGAGAACAUUCUAAGGAUACCUUAUCUGAAGAAAAAAAUGUUAUUAAAAAUAUUAUUUUGGGAUGAUAUCAUCCUAAUGUUAGAUAAAACCCCAACUAGAACUUAAUGGGAAUCUUAGCUAAUGUUCUGGGAAUGUUCUCGGUUUGCUGGGAGGUGUGUAAAACAUGUUAUUUUAGCAGGCUUUACCAAGCACUCGCUUUCUCUCCCUCUCUUUCUUUCUCAUGCCAAUAAAACAAACAAUGAUUUGACAGAGUGCAGCGGAGUAUCCCCAGUUGAAAUUCAAGAGGUAGAUGCUAAAUACCAAUGUGCUUGACUGUGUGCCCCUUGAUUAGCUCUACUUUAGACAAGCCAGCUUUGAUUGUGUCAAGAUAGUCUUUCGGGGAGGAUUACUUUGAGUACACCCCUGAACUACAUUGACAUACUGAGGAUUUCAAGUAUGUCAGGAAGAAAAGCAUUAAUUGGCAUAGAAGUACAGAUAGAAGUGAUUCAAGAGUUUACUCCAUGAGCUACUUUUGCAGGUGCUGUGGAAACUUUCAGAAUGAUGCCAAAUUGAAUAAGACCGAGAUGAGUGAAUAUACAUUGUUAAAAUUAAGUGCUUUGUUACACCAAAACUAUUGGCAAUUGAGCUGCCACCAAUGUGAAGGGGACGAAACCUUAACUUGGAGUAUUGAAACACAUCCUCCUGAUAUGUUUUGAAACAUUACAUAGUGUGUUGUAACACCAUUUAAUCAAGUGUUGUGCAACACCUUGCCAGGAACUGGGAGCACUACCAGAAAAGGUUGAAAACACACGUUUGGAGUUUUGAGUUCUGUGUAGUGCAUAAUUAGUUCCCUUCUCUUUUGGUGCCGUUUCCUCCCUAUAAAGCUUCUAAACACUAUUAUGGUGUUUCAAAUCCUGCAGAAUUAGAUACAUUCUUUUGGUGUAUUUUAAUGUUGAACAUUGAUUUAUGUAUCUGAUUAUUUGCAAGUUUAAUACAUUUUGGGAGGCAUUGUUGAGCACAGGGCUCAAUCCACCAGCAGUUUAUUUUUUAUUUUAUUUUAUUUCACCUUUAUUUAACCAGGUAGGCCAGUUGAGAACAAGUUCUCAUUUACAACUGCAACCUGGCCAAGAUAAAGCAAAGCAGUGUGACACAAACAACAACACAGAGUUACACAUGGAAUAAACAAACGUACAGUCAAUAACACAAUAGAAAAAAAGUCUAUAUACAGUGUGUGCAUAUGGCGUGAGGCGGUAAGGCAAUAAAUAGGCCAUAGUAAUGAAGUAAUUACAAUUUAGCAAAUUAACACUGGAGUGAUAGAUGUGCAGUUGAUGAUGUGCAAGUAGAAAUACUGGUGUGCAAAAGUUAAAAACAAUAUGGGGAUGAGGUAGGUAGAUUGGAUGGGCUAUUUACAGAUGGGCUGUGUACAGCUGCAGCGAUCGGUUAGCUGCUCAGAUAGCUGAUGUUUAAAGUCAGUUAGGGAGAUAUAAGUCUCCAACUUCAGUGAUUUUUGCAAUUCGUUCCAGUCAUUGGCAGCAGAGAACUGGAAGGAAAGUCGGCCAAAGGAGGUGUUGGCUUUGGGGAUGACCAGUGAAAUAUAUCUGCUGGAGUGCGUGCUAUGGGUGGGUGUUGUUAUCGUGACCAGUGAGCUGAGAUAAGGCGGAGCUUUACCUAGCAAAGACUUACAGAUGACCUGGAGCCAGUGGGUCUGGCGACGAAUAUGUAGCGAGGGCCAGCCGACGAGAGCAUAUAGGUCGCAGCGGUGGGUGGUAUAUGGGGCUUUGGUGACAAAACGGAUGGCACUGUGAUAGACUGCAUCCAGUUUGCUGAGUAGAGUGUUGGAGGCUAUUUUGUAAAUGACAUGGCCGAAGUCAAGGAUCGGUAGGGUAGUCAGUUUUACGAGGGUAUGUUUGGAGGCUUUGUUGCGAAAUAGGAAGCCGAUUCUAGAUUUAAUUUUGGAUUGGAGAUGUUUAAUAUGAGUCUGGAAGGAGAGUUUACAGUCAAGCCAGACAUCUAGGUAUUUGUAGUUGUCCACAUAUUCUAAGUCAGAACCGUCCAGAGUAGUCGGGCGGGCGGGUGCGAGCAGCGAUCGGUUGAAAAGCAUGCAUUUAGUUUUACUAGCAUUUAAGAGCAGUUGGAGGCCACGGAAGGAGUGUUGUAUGGCAUUGAAGCUCAUAACUAGCAGUAACUAGAGGUUUUACAGAAAGCAUUACAGGGUACUGUAUUUUCCUCUACAAUUAAAAGUAGGAAAUGUGGGAACGUAAUUUUGGCUGACGGUUUUUAUAUCCAUUCAUCAUGAU
rnacentral:lncRNA from 1 species